rnacentral:lncRNA from 1 species
UUGGGAACAAUGUGUAGCAUAAGUUUGUCAGAAUUUUCGAAUGUUACAAUUAGGGAUGGGUGUUCGGUACUUCGGUUCAGUAUUUAAUAACUGUAGUUCGGUACUUCGGUAUUCGAUAUAUCAAUUGUGCGUACUAAAUACCGUACCAAAGUAGUUCGGUAUUUUCUUAUUUGGUUCGGUACGAUUCUGUAUCAUACCAAAGUCUUUCAAAUCUCCCAAGAAUUAAGAUUAUGCCUAACGUGAAACGUCUCUUCUUGAGCUAAAUCUUACUUCGAUCAAGUUGUUCAAGCUUCUAAAAUGUAGUAACAACAAUGUGUUAGGAUAUGAUGCUAUAAUAAAAGAGGAAUAUGUAACUAAAAUUAAUUAACUACAUCAAUGUAGUCACUGCUCCUCAAAUGUACAGCUAGAAAAUAAAUUGUGUAUUAUCCUAUAUACAAAAUUUUGAACUAUAGAGGCCAAUGUGAACUACUCGCCGUGAAAAGAGAAAAUGGAAAACUAUGGAGCAAACGAAGCAAGUGCAAAAUAUUCAAGGAUUCAUUUGUCGAACUCCCAAAUGACUCCUCCAUCCUCUGCAACUACAAGACCAAAUAACUAUAAGUAACUACACAUCUCUUUUAAGGAUAACAAAUCCAGUUGGUAUUUAAUUCUACCCACCUGAAUAAAUGAAGAAGAACAACUUAAUUGAAAAUAUUCAAGACGUCUGGUCCAUUAAAGAGAAAGAUAUAAAGUAGCCUUAUAUUACUGCUUACUGAGAAAAUCACUAUCAAAAUUUCAACACCUCAACUGCUGCUUACAAGGGCAAUAAAAUCACUAUCAAAAUUUCAAGAAAAAAUAAAGAAGUUGAAGAAUGAAGAAGGCGAGAAGUUGUAAACCUGUUGAAGAAUGAAGAUUGAACAAUGACUGUCAGUCGCCGAUGAGAGAACUGAGAAGUCGUCAUCGCCGAGGUCUCUGUCGCACAAUCGGCAGUCGAAGGCUCGAACUCGAACUCACAGGUCACAGCGGGUCAGCAACAGAGCUUUUGAGAAUUGAGAGAAAGGUGAGAAAUUGAAAAUUCCUAUCCAGCCCUAGGUAUGCUAAUUCCUAAUUUUCUAUCGUUAGUCUAAAUGAGGUUGGACUUGGGCCUAAGGGUAACAAAUUAGAUUUGGGCUCAACGGUAUCAUCUUUGUGUUGGGCUGCCCUGGACUAUUUGAAAUUGG